rnacentral:rRNA from 1 species
CCUACGGGUGGCAGCAGUGAGGAAUAUUGGUCAAUGGACGAGAGUCUGAACCAGCCAUGCAGCGUGAAGGAUGACUGCCCUAUGGGUUGUAAACUUCUUUUAUACAGGAAUAAAACGAGGCACGUGUGCCUUUUUGCAUGUACUUUAUGAAUAAGGAUCGGCUAACUCCGUGCCAGCAGCCGCGGUAAUACGGAGGAUCCGAGCGUUAUCCGGAUUUAUUGGGUUUAAAGGGAGCGUAGAUGGGUUGUUAAGUCAGUUGUGAAAGUUUGGGGCUCAACCGUAAAAUUGCCAUUGAUACUGGCGGUCUAGAGUACAGUUGAGGUAGGCGGAAUGCGUGGUGUAGCGGUGAAAUGCUUAGAGAUCACGAAGAACACCGAUUGCGAAGGCAGCUUACUAAACUGCCACUGACAUUGAUGCUCGAAAGUGUGGGUAGCAAACAGGAUUAGAUACCCCUGUAGUC